UGUGAAGCAGGCUGUCAUAGAG
rnacentral:misc_RNA from 1 species